CAAGACGUAGCUAUAAUACCAAAGCAUUCAGCUUACACCUGAAAGAUAUCUGCCAUUCAUCAGAUCGUCUUGA
rnacentral:tRNA from 1 species